rnacentral:rRNA from 1 species
CACGUAGGGGGCAAGCGUUGUCCGGAUUCAUUGGGCGUAAAGGGUGCGUAGGCGGCGCGGUAAGUCGGGUGUGAAAUCUCGGAGCUUAACUCCGAAACUGCAUUCGAUACUGCCGUGCUUGAGGACUGGAGAGGAGACUGGAAUUUACGGUGUAGCGGUGAAAUGCGUAGAUAUCGUAAGGAAGACCAGUGGCGAAGGCGGGUCUCUGGACAGUUCCUGACGCUGAGGCACGAAGGCCAGGGGAGCAAACGGG